rnacentral:rRNA from 1 species
GUGGGGAAUAUUGGACAAUGGGCGAAAGCCUGAUCCAGCCAUGCCGCGUGUGUGAAGAAGGUCUUCGGAUUGUAAAGCACUUUAAGUUGGGAGGAAGGGCAGUAAGUUAAUACCUUGCUGUUUUGACGUUACCGACUGAAUAAGCACCGGCUAACUUCGUGCCAGCAGCCGCGGUAAUACGAAGGGUGCAAGCGUUAAUCGGAAUUACUGGGCGUAAAGCGCGCGUAGGUGGUUUUGUAAGUUGGAGGUGAAAUCCCCGGGCUCAACCUGGGAACUGCCUCCAAAACUGCAUGACUGGAGUACGGUAGAGGGUAGUGGAAUUUCCUGUGUAGCGGUGAAAUGCGUAGAUAUAGGAAGGAACACCAGUGGCGAAGGCGACUACCUGGACUGAUACUGACACUGAGGUGCGAAAGCGUGGGGAGCAAACAGGAUUAGAAACCCUGGUAGUCC